GCAGAGGCUGGCCUUAAAAUUUCAAUCCUCCUGCUUCAGCCUCCAGAAUUGCUGGGAUAACAGGAACCUCGCUGCCCAGGCAACGACAGCCUCUCCGAGAUAACAUGGCCCACAGGAAGACUUGCAGCUUGAGGUGCAGGACUGGUUUGGGGGCUGGAGAAAGCUCCGGGAUGCAGAGACCAAGCUUUGGAAGCAAAUGGCCUUGAGAAGGAGAUGGCAAUGUCCAAAUCCGAGCUCAGUGGAUGAGGCGCUUUUCUGGAGUAUCCCUUUGAGGGGGAUGAAGGAGACCCUUCUUCUGUCCCUGGGGAAGAGACCGGUGGAGCCAACAUCCCAAGCUCACAGCCUGCUGGGGCAUGAGAAUCAAUGGGGUGGCCCUCUGCUCAUGAAUAUAGACUUAAUUCACUGCAUUGUGGGCCCAAAGCGUAUGCACAGUGAAGAGAGUCAAUGUGCUGUUCUUGCUCCUCUUUUGAGAGGAGCUCUGUGGCUCUGAGAGCUGAAGGCACCAUCAAGAGAGGCAGGAGCCUUGUUUUUCAAGCAGUGGUCGUGGAUCUGCAUAAGUAAAUGACCGCUCUGGUGCUCAGCGCCGCUGGCUAGGAAUACAGAUUUGGGGAGGAAGAGAGGACCAUGGGAGUCCAUUUCCUGGGAUUUUUUUUGAUACUGGGGAUUGAAUCCAGGGUCGCUUAACCACUGAGCCACCUCCCCAGCCCUUUUUUAUUUUUAUUUUAUUUAAAAAAUUUUUUUUUGAUAAAUGCAUUUCAUUAUUUAUUUAGAUGUUUAAGCUCUUGCACUAAGUUUUUACAAGCUGGUGAACACUGACAAAUUAUUUCUCCCACAGAACUAUAACCACACAUUCCCAGACAGUAUAAAUAUAUGGUUGAACUAACAUUAAUACACAUCACCAUUUUAUCAAUUACAUGAUAAAACAAAAUUAUCAAGUAUCCAAAAAUUAAAUUACACAGCUCAAAAGGCAUAUAAAAUAUUAGAUGUCUGCUCAAUUUCAGAAACUUUAUGAUUAAGAAUUGUUUUACCUACAAUAACAGAGUAUCUGUACCUUUUAAAAAAAUAUUUACUAAAUUAAAGAGCAUAUAUUCUACAGGUUCUGCACGAGACAAAGGCAGCAUUUUACUAAAAAUAUUUAAUAGCCCCCUCCCAAUCUUUUUGUCAGGCCCUCCCUGUUAAGUUGUACCUCAGAGUGCAAACAUUAAAUUAACUGUAAGGCUUUUUUUUUUGUCUGGAGACUUAAAGACAUGUGCUUCUGUAAAAACUUAGAUUUUCAAAAUGGAGGUUUCCCAUAAUAGCAAAAAAUAAGACUUAAUAGAAAGAUAUUAAAUAAAAAUAAUUGCUGUAAGACUUGGUAAAAGG